CAGCCGCCACGGUAAUACGAAGGGUGCAAGCGUUAAUCGGAAUUCCUGGGCGUAAAGCGUGCGUAGGCGGUUUGUUAAGUCUGCUGUGAAAUCCCCGGGCUCAACCUGGGAAUGGCAGUGGAUACUGGCAAGCUAGAGUGUGUCAGAGGAUGGUGGAAUUCCCGGUGUAGCGGUGAAAUGCGUAGAGAUCGGGAGGAACAUCAGUGGCGAAGGCGGCCAUCUGGGCCAACACUGACACUGAGGCACGAAAGCGUGGGGAGCAAACAGGAUUAGAUACCCGCGUAGUCCCUGUCUCUUAUAC
rnacentral:rRNA from 1 species